rnacentral:rRNA from 1 species
GACGAACGCUGGCGGCGUGCUUACCACUUGCAAGUCGAACGGAGCACCCCUGAAUGAGGUUUCGGCCAAAGGAAGGGAAUGCUUAGGGGCGGACUGGUGAGUAACGCGUGAGGAACCUGCCUUUCAAAGGGGGACAACAGUUGGAAACAACUGCUAAUACCGCAUGACACAUGAAUGGGGCAUCCCAUUGAUGUCAAAAAUUUAUCGCUGAAAGAUGGCCUCGCGUCCCAUUAGCUAGUAGGCGGGGUAACGGCCCACCUAGGCAACAAUGGGUAGCCGGACUGAGAGGUUGACCGGCCACUUUGGGACUGAAAUACGGCCCAAACUCCUACGGGAGGCAGCAGGGGGAAAUAUUGGGCAAUGGACGCAAGUCUGACCCACCAACGCCGCGUGAAGGAAGAAGGCUUUCGGGUUGUAAACUUCUUUUGUCAGGAAACAGUAAAAAAGGGUACCUGACAAAUAACCCACGGUUAACUACGUG